AAGUAAAAGUCGUAACAAGGUUUCCGUAGGUGAACCUGCGGAAGGAUCAUUACCGAGUUGAUUCGAGCUCCGGCUCGACUCUCCCACCCUAUGUGUACCUACCUCUGUUGCUUUGGCGGGCCGCGGUCCUCCGCACCGGCGCCCUUCGGGGGGCUGGCCAGCGCCCGCCAGAGGACCAUAAAACUCCAGUCAGUGAACUUCGCAGUCUGAAAAACAAGUUAAUAAACUAAAACUUUCAACAACGGAUCUCUUGGUUCUGGCAUCGAUGAAGAACGCAGCGAAAUGCGAUAAGUAAUGUGAAUUGCAGAAUUCAGUGAAUCAUCGAAUCUUUGAACGCACAUUGCGCCCCUUGGUAUUCCGAGGGGCAUGCCUGUUCGAGCGUCAUUUCAACCCUCAAGCUCUGCUUGGUAUUGGGCCCCGUCCUCCACGGACGCGCCUUAAAGACCUCGGCGGUGGCGUCUUGCCUCAAGCGUAGUAGAAAACACCUCGCUUUGGAGCGCACGGCGUCGCCCGCCGGACGAACCUUUGAAUUAUUUCUCAAGGUUGACCUCGGAUCAGGUAGGGAUACCCGCUGAACUUAAGC
rnacentral:rRNA from 1 species